UACGGGGGGGGCAAGCGUUGUUCGGAAUUACUGGGCGUAAAGGGCCAGUAGGCGGCCAACUAAGUCGGACGUGAAAUCCCCGGGCUUAACCUGGGAAUGGCAUUUGGGACUGCAAGGCUGGAGUACGGCAGAGGAGACUGGAAUUCCUGGUGUAGCAGUGAAAUGCGUAGAGAUCAGGAGGAAUACCGAUGGCGAAGGCGGCGACCUGGGUCGAUACUGACGCUGAGGUGCGAAAGCGUGGGGAGCAAACAGG
rnacentral:rRNA from 1 species